UUUCCGUAGGUGGACCUGCGGAAGGAUCAUUAAAGAGUAAGGGUCUUCGGGCCCGAUCUCCAACCCUUUGUUUAACUACCAUGUUGCUUUGGCGGGCCCGUCUCACGACUGCCGGAAGUUUGGCUUCGACCAAACUUCUGGCCCGUGCCCGUCAGUGGCCCCUUCAAAUUCUUGAUAAAGUAUGAUGUCUUAGUUAAGAACUUAAUAGUUAAAACUUUCAACAACGGAUCUCUUGGUUCUG
rnacentral:misc_RNA from 1 species